GAGGAUUCGGAGCUAAAGACGGGCCCGCGGUGGGUGCCGGAGGAAUGACGGGCCCACGGUGGUUGCCGGAGAGAAGAUGAAGAGGAGCAGGAGGCAAAGAAUUACGACAAAUGACCCACAUUCGUCACCCAAGCGAGAAGGUUAAAGAGAGUGAGCUGUGCACUCGGAGCGAGGAAGAUGGGUGGUGCCGUCCAAGAGACGACUCGGCAGCUGAAGACUGGCCCUUGGUGGGUUCCGGAGGUUGGAUGAAGACGGCCCCUCGGUGGGUGCCGGAGGUCCGAGAGAAGUU